rnacentral:rRNA from 1 species
GAUGAACGCUGGCGGCGUGCCUAAUACAUGCAAGUCAAGCGAACAGAUGAGGAGCUUGCUCCUCUGACGUUAGCGGCGGACGGGUGAGUAACACGUGGAUAACCUACCUAUAAGACUGGGAUAACUUCGGGAAACCGAAGCUAAUACCGGAUAAUAUAUUGAACCGCAUGGUUCAAUAGUGAAAGACGGUUUUGCUGUCACUUAUAGAUGGAUCCGCGCCGCAUUAGCUAGUUGGUAAGGUAACGGCUUACCAAGGCAACGAUGCGUAGCCGACCUGAGAGGGUGAUCGGCCACACUGGAACUGAGACACGGUCCAGACUCCUACGGGAGGCAGCAGUAGGGAAUCUUCCGCAAUGGGCGAAAGCCUGACGGAGCAACGCCGCGUGAGUGAUGAAGGUCUUCGGAUCGUAAAACUCUGUUAUUAGGGAAGAACAAAUGUGUAAGUAACUAUGCACGUCUUGACGGUACCUAAUCAGAAAGCCACGGCUAACUACGUG